UUUCUUCUUCUCACUCUCUAACUCUCUAAGCUCCGAGAACUCCCAACCCCUCUUCCCUUCGAAUCAACAACAAAUCAAGCCCAAAAUUUAUAUAUUUGGAAUCCUUGAGACCUAACAAACUCAAUGGUACCCUUGCAUGCGCCAUCAAAGCACUGUGGACUUUUCUGCCAUUGAAGCUGAGAGCUUCAAAGCUCUAAAACUAGAACCCAGAACCCGGUUCCGACAACGAACUCCGGCGAGUUUGUUGCUGUGGAUUGCACGGAUCCCUUCGAACCUAAACCCAGGUGAAGUUGCUAGUGGAGACUUCCUUAAUCAUUUUCCGCACAAUUCUGCUGCUUCGGAGUAUUUGUGAGUGGACCACCUUCGAAAAUUGCAUGUUUUAUUGAUAGAAUUGCAUAAUUUAAUAGCAUGCCUUGCAGAAUUGUUGAUUUGAGGAAUACUUUACAGGAAGUAUGAUGAUUUGAUUAUACGUGAUUAUAUAUAUAUAUAUAUAUAUAUAUAUAUAUAUAUAUGUUUUGAACUAUUUCCAUUAUAUCGUAUUUUCUAUAGAACCCUUAUUCUGGUAGACUAUCUGAUCGAUGACGAUAGGAUGCUAAGAAUGUGUUUCAAAUGACUUUCGAACACCUCUUCGUAGUAUAGAGGAUCGAUGAAUUUAUGCUACAAAGUUGUAUUUUAGAGAUGAAUUAUGUUUUGUGCGUACCUAGUGAACAAUAUGCCGUCUGGGACGAGGAUCUGGUGUUGGCAUUGAGGCCGGGAGAAAUAAUCCCUAGCGAAAGGCUGAGGGACACGGAGACAGGCAUUGGGCCGGGAGGGAGAUAUCUCUGACUACGGGCACAGAGACUGAGGUGCAGGCAUUGGGCCGGGAGUAUUAUUAUUCAGUGCACUCACUAGCAACAUAACUUGUGUUAUGCUUCCUGAUAUGAUUUCUGAUAUGAUUUCUGAUAUGAUUUUCUGAGAUUGAUUUGCAGAUGGAUAUAUCAAUUGUUUUAUGAAUUUCUGAUAUGAUUUUCUGAGAUUGAUUUGCAGAUGGAUAUAUCAAUUGUUUUAUGGCAUGUUAGAGUUUUCUGAAAAGCUUAUCACUUAUUAUUCUAAUAGUUUUCAUUAUUAAACUGUGGGGGUUAGUAUGUUCAUAACUGUUUUCGUACUAUGUAUGUAUAAAUUUGGUCCACUCACCCUUGUUUUGUGCCCCCAUUCAGGUCUUAGAAACGAGGCAUAGAAUCCCGGCAUCAAGGUACUUCCACAGCGGCAUCUUCGAGUCCUCUCGGGGUAGAAGCCACUCCUUUGUUCAUUCAAUCUUAUCUUAAUUCUUGUUAGUGACUAGGUUUAGUUGUAUGCUCUGAACACAUUCCUAAAUUGUUAAUUCAUUGUUUUUUUUUUUACUUCAUAACCCGUAUUUAUUUCUUAUUCCUAGCUUUUGCAUUUAAUAAAUGGCUUUCGUCACCCUCGGGUGUCGGCCACCACGUGCCUAUCCUGGUAUUCGGGUAAUAUCAAGGUCGGGGCGUGUCAUAAUCGCGGGCCGCGGUUACCCAUAACCGCGGGUAUUUUGCUCAUCCCUACUCCUUAUAUUGUCAAUUGAUUUUAUGGUAAAAUUUCAACUUCUUCAUGGUAUUAAAGCAGGUUGUCCCUUGUCACUUCACUUGUCACAGCCCGUCCCGAGAUUUUCAUCAGGAAAUGUGAAAUGACAGAAUUACCCUCGGACGUUAUUUGGGGUGUGACUUACAUUUGGUUUAAUUUCAGGAUCUUUGGAACCAAUUAGAACUAAGAUCCUUCUUAGUUUUGGUUGGUGGCUUUUUAGACCACACAACUCCCUAUCACUCUCUCUCUUCUAUCCCGUGUAUCUCUCCAUUCUCUCAGAACUCUCUAUCUCUCCCUGUCGAACCGUACGGACACAUUCACCCACGAUCAUCCAAGCACGGAUCGAAGGUUUCAAGGGUACCAUUGUACUCGUCAGGACCCUACGAACUCACCCAUACGCAUUUCAGGACAAUCCAAGCUCACAGUGAGCUUUAGGAGGUUCUCACGAAGCUCGGGGACGUUCGUUUG